GAUGAACGCUGGCGGCGUGCCUAAUACAUGCAAGUCGAGCGGUAAGGCUCCUUCGGGAGUACACGAGCGGCGGACGGCUGAGUAACACGUAGGAACGUACCCCAACUAGAGGGAUAAGCACCAGAAAUGGUGUCUAAUACCGCAUGUGCUCUUCGGAGUAAAGCUUCGGCGGUUUGGGAACGGCCUGCGCAUGAUUAGCUUGUUGGUAAGGUAAUGGCUUACCAAGGCGACGACUAUUAGC
rnacentral:rRNA from 1 species